rnacentral:rRNA from 1 species
CCUACGGGGGGCAGCAGUGAGGAAUAUUGGUCAAUGGGCGCGAGCCUGAACCAGCCAAGCCGCGUGAGGGAAGACGGUCCUAUGGAUUGUAAACCUCUUUUGUCGGGGAGCAAAAGACGCCACGCGUGGCGUUCCGAGAGUACCCGACGAACAAGCAUCGGCUAACCCCGUGCCAGCAGCCGCGGCAAUACGUAGGGGGCAAGCGUUAACCGGAAUUACUGGGUGUAACGGGAGCGUAGACGGGGGUGUAAGUCUGGAGUGAAAGGCCGGGGCCCAACCCCCGGACUGCACUGGAAACUAUGAGGCUGGAGUGCAGGAGAGGUGAGCAGAAUUCCUGGUGUAGCGGUGAAAUGCGUAGAGAUUAGGAGGAACACCAGUGGCGAAGGCGGCUCACUGGACUGUAACUGACGUUGAGGCUCGAAAGCGUGGGGAGCAAACAGGAUUAGAUACCCCAGUAGUC